CAAUAGGAUCUUACUGUCAAAUCUUCCCGGAUCAUCUGUUCGACUGCCUUUCUUUUCUACAUCUACAAUACUUUCAAAAUCCACUGCAACAACGGCCUGUGCACAUAAAAAAUUUAUAGGUGAUAGAUAAAAGUUCGAUCGAGCUUUAAAGAAUUUGUGUAAAGUCUCCAUACAUAGAGAUGAUGAAGAACAACUUUUUCUUUUUACGAUCAUCAACUAAUGAUGCAAACAAGACCCCUUCACCACCAUUAAAGUCCAAG